UACGUAGGGUGCGAGCGUUGUCCGGAAUUAUUGGGCGUAAAGAGCUCGUAGGCGGUGUGUCACGUCGGCCGUGAAAACCUGCAGCUUAACUGUGGGCGUGCGGUCGAUACGGGCAUCACUGGAGUUCGGCAGGGGAGACUGGAAUUCCUGGUGUAGCGGUGAAAUGCGCAGAUAUCAGGAGGAACACCGGUGGCGAAGGCGGGUCUCUGGUCCUUAACUGACGCUGAGGCGCGAAAGCAUGGGGAGCGAACGGG
rnacentral:rRNA from 1 species